GCGAUCAUACUAGUACUAAUGCAGCGGAACUCAUCAGAACUCCGAAGUUAAGCGUGCUUGGGCGAGAGCAAUACUAGGAUGGGCGACCCCCUGGGAAGUCCUCGUGUUGCACCU
rnacentral:rRNA from 1 species